rnacentral:lncRNA from 1 species
UCCACUUCUUUGAAGUCCCCCACUUCUAACCAACCUCAACCUCUUUUUAUAUAUUCUCUUCCCUUUUCAUUCAUUGUUCACCACUCUCCACACUUCUCUUCUUUUCUCUCUCAAUCCCUAAAAGCCACAAUAUGGGUUUCUCUUCAACACUACAAUUGUUUCUUAUCUUUAGUUUACUAGCCACAUCUUGUUUAGCACAGGCUCCAAGUGCUGCACCAACACAAGCACCAACAUCAACAUCAACACCACCAACUCAACCACCAGCAACACCACCACCUACAGCACCUCCUACUCCCUCUCCAACCUCUCCUGCACCAGCUUCUUCUCCGGCAACCUCUCCUCCAUCACCAACACC